CCCUAGUAACGGCGAGUGAAGAGGGAAGAGCUCAAAGUUAAAACCUGCUAGGUUUGCCUAGCCGGAUUGUAAACUAGAGAGGCAGCUUCCAGGCACGCCGUAUGAUAAAGUCCUUUGGAAUAAGGCACCAUAGAGGGUGAUAGUCCCGUACAUCAUGCGAGUAGUGUCUUUGUGUUGCGCUUCCAACGAGUCAGGUUGUUUGGUAUUGCAGCCUAAAGUGGGUGGUAAACCGCAUCUAAAGCUAAAUAUUGGCGAGAGACCGAUAGCGAACAAGUACCGUGAGGGAAAGAUGAAAAGAACUUUGAAAAGAGAGUUAAACAGUAUGUGAAAUUGCUAGAAGGGAAGCGUUUGAAGUCAGAUUGGCUAGUGUAUUAAUGUCUGGAACCUUGGUUCUCGGACUUGUGGUAUACAAGCUUGCCAACGGCAGUUUGAGGCUGUGGAUAAUAGUGGGAAAAAUGUGUGGCCUAAUCCUCGGAUUAGGGUGUUAUAGUUUCCUGCACGAUACAUGGUCUUAGACUGAGGGAAGGCUGCAAAUAUUCAACCUUGUGAAAUGCAGGGGUUACUUUGCAUAGGUCGUUGGCUUAAAUUGACUUUAAAGGCCCGUCUUGAAACACGGACCAAGGAGUCCACCAUAGCUGCGAGUAUUUGGGCCGGGUAAACCCAUGAUGCGCAAUGAAAGUAAUGGCUACGGAUACAGUAGCAUCCGGGCAUGGACGUUUUAACUGAAAUGACCGAGAUUGAGCAGGCUAUGAUGGGACCCGAAAGAUGGGUGAACUAUGCUUGAGCAGAGUUAAAAGUCAGAGGAAACUCUGAUGGAAGCUCGCAGCGAUUCUUGACGUGGCAAAUCGAUCGUCAAACUUUGAGCAUAGG
rnacentral:rRNA from 1 species